rnacentral:lncRNA from 1 species
CUUAAUAUUUCCUAAAAAAUAUCCUUGUGGAAUAAGGAUAUCCUGGUGGAACAAAUAGUAUAAAGGACUCUCAUGUUACUGAAAAGCUUUGUAAAUUCAGUACAGUGGACACAGUUAGUCUUAACUCUCUCUAGCAUGUUCUCUUCCUUCUUAGAUCUUUGUUAAUUGACCAUCAUUUUGUUUCACAGCAUAGACAUACAUUAUGUUACUAUUUGUUGAAAACAGAAAAACAGUAUUAUAAUAACCUCCUGGAGUAAAAAAAAAAAAAAAAAGAAACAGAGAAAUAAAUAUAUUCCCAAAACUGUCACAAAAAUAUUUUGUAUGCGAAAAAGGACUUUUUUUUUUAAGAUUUCUAAUCAUUUUUAAUCUUGUCAGUGAAAUCUUUACUUAGGAGUGCUCACUUUUUACUAAGCUAAUCCUAAAUUAUUAGGCAAGUUAAAAACUUGGACAGGGCAGGAAGGAAAUUAAGAAAUUACAAAGAUGCAUUUAGAGCCAAAUAUUGUAAACACUGACCAGUAGAUCAUAUGUGUG